rnacentral:ncRNA from 1 species
UGGUUGCCAUAGGCCAAAAGGCUGAGGCUGUAAAAGGGAACCCGGUGCGCCGUACCCAUCAGGGAGCAAAUCCGGGGCUGUACCCGCAUCUGUGUGCGGUAGGGGUGCUAAAUCAAUUGCCACUGGGGAAAACCCUGGGAAGGCGGGCACAUUCAACCCGAUAACCGUGAGCCAGAAUACCGGCCAGACAUGUUG